UCCUAUGAUGGCAUGAAAUCUUUGAGACCUGAUACUCAUCUUGAUGAGAACUAUAAGCAUAAAUCUGAGGAC
rfam:Ananas comosus cultivar MD2 ACMD2_Scaffold_610, whole genome shotgun sequence.